rnacentral:rRNA from 1 species
CCUACGGGAGGCAGCAGUGGGGAAUAUUGGACAAUGGGGGGAACCCUGAUCCAGCCAUGCCGCGUGUGUGAAGAAGGCCCUCGGGUUGUAAAGCACUUUCAGUGAGGAAGAACGCCUGGUGGUUAAUACCCAUCAGGAAAGACAUCACUCACAGAAGAAGCACCGGCUAACUCCGUGCCAGCAGCCGCGGUAAUACGGAGGGUGCGAGCGUUAAUCGGAAUUACUGGGCGUAAAGCGCGCGUAGGUGGCUUGAUAAGCCGGUUGUGAAAGCCCCGGGCUCAACCUGGGAACGGCAUCCGGAACUGUCAAGCUAGAGUGCAGGAGAGGAAGGUAGAAUUCCCGGUGGAGCGGUGAAAUGCGUAGAGAUCGGGAGGAAUACCAGUGGCGAAGGCGGCCUUCUGGACUGACACUGACACUGAGGUGCGAAAGCGUGGGUAGCAAACAGGAUUAGAUACCCUUGUAGUC